rnacentral:rRNA from 1 species
AGUGGCCUACGGGACGCAGCAGUGGGGAAUAUUGCACAAUGGGGGAAACCCUGAUGCAGCAACGCCGCGUGAAGGAAGACGGUUUUCGGAUUGUAAACUUCUGUUCUUAGUGAAGAAGAAUGACGGUAGCUAAGGAGCAAGCCACGGCUAACUACGUGCCAGCAGCCGCGGUAAUACGUAGGUGGCAAGCGUUGUCCGGAAUUACUGGGUGUAAAGGGAGCGCAGGCGGGAAGCCAAGUCAGCUGUGAAAACUACGGGCUUAACUCGUAUACUGCAGGUGAAACUGGUUUUCUUGA